rnacentral:rRNA from 1 species
UCCUACGGGGGGCAGCAGUGGGGGAUAUUGCACAAUGGGGGAAACCCUGAUGCAGCGACGCCGCGUGAGUGAAGAAGUAUUUCGGUAUGUAAAGCUCUAUCGGCAGGGAAGAAAAAAAUGACAGUAACUGACUAAGAAGCCCCGGCUAACUACGUGCCAGCAGCCGCGGGAAUACGUAGGGGGCAAGCGGUAUCCGGAUUUACUGGGUGUAAAGGGAGCGCAGACGGCAAGGCAAGACUGAUGUGAAAGGCCGAGGCUCAACCUCGGGACUGCAUUGGAAACUGUCUGGCUAGAGUGCAGGAGAG